GACGAACGCUGGCGGCGUGCUUAACACAUGCAAGUCGAACGGAAAGGCCCUGCUGCUUUCUUGUGCCCGAGUGGCGAACGGAUGAGUAACUAACGAGUAACCAGCCCGCGACUCUGGGAUAACUUCAAGAAACUGGCGCUAACAACUGCUGCGUGCGCCUUCUUCAUGGCGUCGGUUGGAAAUUUUCGGCGGCUGGGGAUGGUCUCGCGGCUUAUCAGCUUGUUGGUGGGGUAGUGGCUUACCAAGGCUUUGACGGGUAGCCGGACUGAGAGGGUGACCGGCCACAGUGGGCCUGGGGUACGGGCCAGACUGCUACGGGAGGAAGCAGUGGAGAAUAUUCGACGAUGGGCGGAAGCCUGGAGCACCAACUCCGCGUGGGGGAUGUCGGCCAUCGGGUUGUAAACGGCUUUCGCCUGAGACGGAGAGUGAGUGACGGUAAUGGGUAAAGAAGCCACGGCUAACUACGUG
rnacentral:rRNA from 1 species